CAUUCACCUGAACACAAUGUAGGAUAUUUCUUUUGUAUUUUAGCAGGCGAACAGCAAUUUGACGACCUUAUUGUUGACGACCUUAUUGUUACACGUUUGUGAAAUUCUUUCAUGUAUUUUGGGGAGGGCUACGAUUUUUACCUUGCGCGGUGCGGUGCGUGAUACCACGUGUAUGGUAUGUUAAUUUAUAUUGUGAAUAAAGGUGAAAACGUGCUUUGGAACAUUGUAUUAGCGUAUUCGGGUGCCAGUAGAUUUUCGAUAUAAACGAAACAUAAUACUCUUGUCACCUGCGGUGAAAAUUUUUGACGCAUUGCAUGUUGGAGUUCGGUGUCAGGUUAUACCAUUCCACGUGUUGGCUGCAUAAACUUUGGCGAAUUUAUUUCGAAGAAGGAAAACUAUUUCGUUGAUAUUUUAGACAGAAGGUGAAAUUUACGUAAUUCUACGCUUUGGCUACAUAUUAUAGUACUGCGAAGUAUUAGAGGUAUAAAGUAUUUUGGUUGAUAUUUUGGUCCGAAGGUGAGGCUUCAACUCUUGUUAUAUAAUCGAGUCUUUGUUCUCAGUUGCGUCAGUAAUUGA